UGGCUGUAGUUUAGUGGUAA
rnacentral:siRNA from 1 species